rnacentral:lncRNA from 1 species
GACGACGUUGACAUUAAGGCAUCAUCAGCAGAGUCGACCUCUAUAAUUAAGGCUGAACCCGGGAGAGAGGCCCAAAAGCCUCGAAAUGUGGACAAGAGCAACUGAGGAAAACUGUAUCAAUGUGUCGGAAUAAGACUUUGGCAUACCCAGUAGUAAAUCGUCAGAAAGCUCCCUAGGUCUUGAUGAUCUUGAGUGAAGAAGAAAUCAGCGAAGUCGUUGGCUGAUGGGUUAUGUAUUCAAACCAUCCUUACCGUAUAGUUAGAUAAAGUGACAUAAAACCAUCAACUGCGUGGCGCAGACAGAAGUGGGUCUAUUAUAACCGUUGCUUGUAAACUAAAAAGUACGUGUACUAUACUAUGCCACCGCACGCAUCCACAUUUUCCUCGCAGUCGGCUUCGAUGCUGUGUUAAUUUGACCAAAUUUUCGGGAUCAUCAGUCUAACAACGACUUCUCAUUGGAGGCUCUUGCUUGGAGUGCACAUUUCACAUCUGAACACCGUAAGCGGUGCUCCCUUGCACUUCGUUGUAUUCGGUAGAGCCCACAAAUCAAGGGUGAAAUAUAUUCGGCGAGCGAUAAAAAUUCAGCAAAGAGGAAACACAGACCUCAAGCGAAUGGAGGAGUCUAUAUACAUGAAAAUGAAGAUGUAAAUUAUACGAAAUGUGAGGCAUUGACCAACCAAAGAGCAGCCACAACAUGGAGGACUGGAAGACGGCGAGCCAUUCCGAACACCAGAGGCAGCUUCCAGCUACAGUUCCCGUUUUUACACUGGACAAAAAAGCAAGUGACCAUUGCCCAAAGGUAAAUAGAAGUAAAUCUGUUUGCAAGAGCCAACAUAAAAUCGUUGCAUAAACGGAAGAU